GGCGUGGUGGGAAUGUCGCCGGUGCAGAGGUGGUAGGCCUGGCGGAUCCGAGCGGACUGAGUGGAGUCGGAACCCGGGGCUCUGGUUGGGCUGGGUUUCCGUGGCUCUGUUUCUGAAAGGACGGCUCUUAACAGGGCCCCAAAGGACUAGGGAGAAGCACGGCUGUAUCUGAGUUCCGAUGGGAUGGGCGCGCGCGGGAUGGAACAGUGAGGGGGCACCAUGCCUGGCCUGGCGCGGCACUCCCGGAACCGCUGUGGCUGAGGGGCGGGUUCGCGAAUUUUAAAAUGCCUUCAUGCAGUUGGUUGAAUAUGUGAAGACGUUAUUCUGGGAUACUUUGGCCUUUACAAGCCGCCCCUAGGAAAUGUCCCUCCAGGUCUGGGAAGCUGCGACGGAAUACAUAGGAGAUAGCACAAGUUAUUUGGUGUGAUGUGAGCCAAAACGCGUUUGGACUUGUAGGUCGCUAAAGUUGCCAUUGCACAGGAGAAACACAAGCAUUCCCCUGUGUCCACAACCCCAGUACACUUUGCAUUUUAGUAAGAGGCUAGGCACACCAAGAAGACAGAUGAGCGCCGCAGCCGCCUUUCUUCCUAGGCAUGUGAAGG
rnacentral:lncRNA from 1 species